AUGGGAAUGAAGUUGCAGAAAAAUGAAAAUAUUUCCAUCCCCUUCUGCCUACAGUUAGAAAUUAGAGAAGAAUCCCAAUAAUGGUUGGCAGACCUUUGAUCAAUACCCUCCAUUGAAUAAAAUACUGGACUCUGUAAUGUUGAACCAAAAGAAGAUCCACCAGAGUUCAAGAUGCUAUCCUCACAAACACACUUCAAGAGGGUAUAGCACGUGCCUAUGGGAGGACAAGGCAGGCCUCAUCACAGGACCAAACCCAACAGCACCAUGACUCGAGAACUUCACAGCCUUCAGAAGUAGGAGAAGAUUCAUUUUUGUUUUACCUGGGGAAAAAAAUAAAGGAGGGGGU